AUGGCUAAAGGCUUUAGCAAAAGGUAGAGUUUAAUAUUGAGGUGUGAGUUGGAAAGGAAGAGAGAGAAGGAGCAAAAGGAAAGGCAUCAGCCAUUCAAUGAACCAUUCGACAUUUUUUUGAGAUUGGAGCUAGAGAGUUGGAGAAGGAAGACAAGGAGCAGCCAAGCAAGAAGGAGAAGAAGAUUUCCACCAUUGAAGACCUUGAGCUUCCAUUACUUUCACAAAAUCUGUAAACUUUUUCUAGUUAUAUUUUGA
rnacentral:lncRNA from 1 species